UCGCGCAUCAGCCAUGGCGCGGUGAAUACGUUCCCGGGCCUUGUACACACCGCCCGUCAAGCCAUGAAAGCCGGGGGUACCUGAAGUACGUAACCGCAAGGAGCGUCCUAGGGUAAAACUGGUAAUUGGGGCUAAGUCGUAACAAGGUAGC
rnacentral:rRNA from 1 species